rnacentral:rRNA from 1 species
AUGCAAAAGGGGAUUAUUGGCCUAAAUAUUGACUCGCGUUGGCCUUAUCCUUUGACGAACUCUACUGUGGAUUUAGAAGCAACGAAAAGAUGUAUGGACUUCAAGUUUGGCUGGAUACUAGAGCCCCUUACGUCCGGAGAUUAUCCAGAAACAAUGAAGAAAAUUGUUGGUUCUCGUCUUCCAUCCUUCACAAGAAUCCAGUCUGAAGCUAUAAUUGGUACUGCAGACUUCAUCGGGAUAAAUUACUACUAUUCCAUCUAUGUGAGCAAUUGCCCUUCAGACAAAGGCGUGCGCAACUAUACUGCAGACAUGUCAAUUAGCUCCAAAAGUAAGCAUCAUUGCUUUACUGUUCACAAAUACUCCUAUAUAGCAGCAGUUGUGGGCAAUGUCAUCUACUUAUCUGCUGACAACAGAAAGUUCACACUGCUAACAUAUAAACUGACUAGACAAUUCAUUACGCUUCUGAAAAAGAUUUACAACUCUGAGAUUUGUGAUCCAAAGGGCACAUCUAAAAAUAUACAUGUUUCUUUGAUGCAGCUUCUAAAACAGACCCACCAGCUGGAAAGGUAA